GUCAGUCACCGUGGAGCUGGGUGUGGAUGCGGCAGCGCCGGGAGGUCCUGGGGCUCCAGCCUCAGAGGGACGUUGUGCUCGGGUCUGGAGACUGACCUUGGCCACACUGCAGGCUGCUCUCGCACGAAUGUCGGCUGCACCCCGCGACACCCACGCUCUCGUGCAGCCGCGAGGGUGCCUCUGUGAAGGGGCUGCCACCUUUAGGAGCCAGUGCGAAGCCGAUGACCUGGAUGCUGGAGGUCGCCGGGUUAAGCGGCUGAGAAAGCACAGCCGGGGGCCGUGCCAGAGGGGGAAGGAGCCAAGCAGCACCUGCGGGGGCCCCCCGCCCACAAGGCGCACCCCUGCAUGCUCUUCUCUUCGCCUCGCACUGUGUUGUCCUCACAGCACCUGUGUUCACGUUCUGGUUUUCUUUUUGUCUGUUAUCUGAGGCCAGAGACCCUGGUCCACACUCUCCCUCGGACAGGGCUUCAUGCCCAUCCGCCUCCGCGAGGCUCCAGCGUCCUCAGCUCAGUGUGGUCAGAGUGACCUUGGCUCUCUCCUCUUGGCUCUGGACUGACCUCCACUGUGACCUAGAGCCCGAGUGGCCCCGGAGAAGAACCUGGCCUGAACACAGUGGCACUGAAACGCCAUCAAGAAACCAAAAGAGGGGGCCCCGCCCCGUGGCACAGUGAUUAAGUUGGUGCACUCCACUUCGGCAGCCCGGGGUUCACUCACCUGGAUCUUGGGUGUGGACCUACGUAUCACUUAUGCUGUGGCAGGCGUCCCACAUAUAAAGUAGAGGAAGAUGGGCACAGAUGUUAGCCCAGGGCCAAUCUUCCUCAGCAAAAGGAGGAGUAUUGGCAGCAGAUGUUAGCUCAGGGCUAAUCUUCCUCAAAAAAAAAGAAAAAGAAAAAAAAAAAGAAACUGAAAGAGGGGUGACUUUCUUUGGGUGUCCAGACAGCGUGGCAGGGAGAGACCCAGGGCAGUGUGGCCCCACAAGGUAGCUCGGCCCCUGGCUUCGUAACAGUGCAGGCUCAGGGGUGGGGUGUCUCUAACCGGGAAGAUCGGGGCAGUUAAAACAACUGUUUAGGAUUAUUUCACCCUUCCACGUUGCUCUGUGUAAUGCAGACAGAGCGCCUGCAAGGCAAGGGGAGGUUGUGUGAGUGCACACAUGUGUGCGUGCACAGGGGUGCGGUGUGUAGGAGCUGGGAGAAGGGACAGGAGUCACCUUGGGGUCAAGCGCAGUGGACGGUGGGUAGCUCAGCUGGGACUCUUUUAGGAUUAGGGAACUGAAGCCCAUUCAGAUGGACUUAAGCAGGUGGCGGAGGUGCGUGUGUCAGCGCUAUGGGCUGAACUGUGUGCCUGCAAGAUUCACAUGUUGCAGUCCUGACCCCAGUACCUUAGAACGUGACUGUUUGGAGACAGAGUCUUUAAAGAGGUGAGUAAGGUAACAGGAGGCCAUUAGGGUGGCCCUGAUCCAGUAUGACUGGAGUCCUUAUGAGAAGAGGAGAUGAGGACACAGACACGCACAGAGGGAAGACCAUGUGAGGACACGGGGAGGAGACAGCCGUCCACAGGCCAAGGAGAGAGGUCCAGAGGAAACCAGCCCUGCACACACCCCGAUCUCGGACCUGCAGCCUCUGGACCUGUCAUGAGCCUCUGGAGGGUCGGCUUGUAAUGGAAUUCCCUCUGGCUGCCGUGGGCGGGCUGUCUGGAAGAGCUUCCUG
rnacentral:lncRNA from 1 species